rnacentral:tRNA from 1 species
GGUUUGUGGCUCAGCGGUAGAGCGCUCGCCUAGCACGUGCGAGGCCCUGAGACCGAUCCUCAGUACCA